rnacentral:rRNA from 1 species
UACGUAGGGCGCAAGCGUUAUCCGGAAUUAUUGGGCGUAAAGAGCUCGUAGGCGGUUUGUCGCGUCUGCCGUGAAAGUCCGGGGCUCAACUCCGGAUCUGCGGUGGGUACGGGCAGACUAGAGUGAUGUAGGGGAGACUGGAAUUCCUGGUGUAGCGGUGAAAUGCGCAGAUAUCAGGAGGAACACCUAUGGCGAAGGCAGCUCUCUGGUACGAGACUGACGCUGAGACGCGAAAGCGUGGGGAGCGAACAGG